GUAGGGAAUAUUGCGCAAUGGAGGAAACUCUGACGCAGCGACGCCGCGUGGGUGAUGAAGGCUUUCGGGUCGUAAAGCCCUGUCGAAAGGGAAGAAAAACAUUUUGGCUAACAUCCAAGAUGCUUGACGGUACCUUUAGAGGAAGCACCGGCUAACUACGUGCCAGCAGCCGCGGUAAUACGUAGGGUGCAAGCGUUGUUCGGAAUCAUUGGGCGUAAAGCGCGUGUAGGCGGUUUGUUAAGUCGAUUGUGAAAUCCCUGGGCUCAACCGAGGAAGUGCAGUCGAAACUAACAAGCUAGAAGAAGGUAGAGAAAGGUGGAAUUCCAAGUGUAGAGGUGAAAUUCGUAGAUAUUUGGAGGAAUACCGGUGGCGAAGGCGGCCUUUUGGGCCUUUCUUGACGCUGAGACGCGAAAGCGUGGGUAGCAAACAGGAUUAGAAACCCCAGUAGUCC
rnacentral:rRNA from 1 species